AUUGUAUAGUCGGUUCACAAGUGUUUGCUGGUUUAGAAGAGUCACAACAUGUCAAGUAGCUGUUGUUGUCGUUUGUCAAGAAGACGAGCAAAAUACACCACUACUAGAAAGAGAUAUGCUUUAGUGUUAGUGCGUAUUGCAACCAAAGGGGGGUUGCUUAUUAUUUAGGAAAGCUUUGAGCUAUUGAAUUUCUUGCACUAAUUGUCUGCUGCGUUUCUUCCAAGUGGGAAUGAGGUUGAUUUAAAUUAGAUUUGCUGACUAAGUUGGUUUUGCAGUGAAGCUAAUUAGUGAACACAAAUCAAGCUAAUUAUGAAGCUGCCAAGUUGAUAAGGUCAACAAAGUUCCAGUGAAUUAAUACCCCUUUAGAAACUUGUAGUAGCUCUAGUCAUUAGUAAAAAUACCAUUGCAGCUAGGUGUUUAAUAUCUCUCUAGUUUAUAGUUAGUCUCAGUUAUUCAUUAUACUUUUGUUGCAAAGAAUAAGAAAUUUAUUAAAAGGCUAAAUUUCUUCACAGAAGAUAUAGAAGGAACUUGUAUUCAUCACUCAACUUUUUCCAAUUCUGAAGUUAUAUCCACCAGCAGACCUUAAUGGAGAAACUUAAUUUAAGACCAAAGGUUAACUGAUGGCUUUCUGUUUCUUUAUAAAAGAUUUCUAGGAUUAAUCAUCUAACAGAUCAAUCGAGAUCCUGUAUCUAGUGAGAUGUUGAAGAUGCGGCAACAACUAGAGUAUUUGCAGGCAGAACUCUGUGGCCGUGGGGGAGGUGCUUCAUCUAAUGAAAUUCAGGUACUCAAGGAUAGGAUUUCAUGGCUUGAAGCUAGUAAUGAGGAGCUAAGUAGAGAAUUGCAUGAGUACCGCAGAAGAGGCUCAGUAUCCUGAUUUGGAACUAGUCUCUGUAAUGCCAGGUGAUUCAAGAGAUAUGGAUGACGAAGCAGCAAAAGAGUGGGAACAUACCCUCCUGCAAGACUCAAUGGACAGAGAGUUGAACAAGCUAAAUCGGCGCAUAGAGCAGAAGGAGGCCUUGAUGAUGAUCACCAGAAAAAGAUUGAAUCUUGGCAUCAUUUGCUGAUUGUUUUUUGAUUUCUGAGCGAAAAUCAGCAUCAUUAGCUAAUUGCUUUUUGGUUUCUGAGUGAAAAUGGCCUUGUGGUUCACAAGAUUGGAAGGCUAGGCUGAACAUACCACCACCUAAUACUCGAUACAGAACAGAGCUUGGUUAUAUAAUUUAUAGGCUAGUCGUACGUUAUUACUCUGGAAAAGAGGAUGGGAUGGAUGUGAGAAAGGCUUUACCCCGAGGCAUUCAAAAGAAGUCUUAUCAUUCCCCUUAAACAACCAGUUACUCAUGAUCAAUUGGAUUAGUAUCACCAAUUCAGUUUCGACGUAAUCUUGUCCUGGAAUUUAUUGCAGGAUGUCUUUUCAAGAAGCCGAGGUUUAUGUGUAUGACCAGUGUAUUCGUGAAUGUUUAUUGAUUAUGUAUUGAUACCAGGAAAAUGUAGAGAAUUUUUUUUUUAAAAGACUGAAUAUUUUUGCCACGGUUGAACCGUGGGUAAUUCCUUUUUUUUUUUU